CCCUUAGAUGUCCUGGGCCGCACGCGCGCUACACUGAUGCAUGCAACGAGUUUAUAACCUUGGCCUGAAAGGUCUGGGUAAUCUUUUGAACGUGCAUCGUGAUAGGGAUAGAUUAUUGCAAUUGUUAAUCUUGAACGAGGAAUUCCUAGUAAACGCGAGUCAUCAGCUCGCAUUGAUUACGUCCCUGCCCUUUGUACACACCGCCCGUCGCUACUACCGAUUGAAUGGCUUAGUGAGCCUUUGGGAUUGGCAGCCAACACCGGCAACGGUAGCUGGCCGCCGAAAACUUAUGCAAACUUGGUCAUUUAGAGGAAGUAAAAGUCGUAACA
rnacentral:rRNA from 1 species